rnacentral:rRNA from 1 species
UACGUAGGGGGCAAGCGUUGUCCGGAUUUAUUGGGCGUAAAGAGCGUGUAGGCGGCCUGAAAGGUCAGCUGUGAAAACUCGAGGCUCAACCUCGAGACGUCGGUUGAAACCAUCUGGCUAGAGUCCGGAAGAGGAGUGUGGAAUUCCCGGUGUAGCGGUGAAAUGCGCAGAUAUCAGGAGGAACACCGGUGGCGAAGGCGGGUCUCUGGGCAACUACUGACGCUGAGGAGCGAAAGCGUGGGGAGCGAACAGG